GAAAAUUCUUUUCUUUUGUUUUUGCUCAGACUGGAGAGAUUUGCCUUGAUAUUUUGAAGAAUGCAUGGAGCCCAGCAUGGACACUCCAGUCUGUUUGUCGAGCUAUAAUUGCUUUGAUGGCUCACCCCGAAGCUGAUAGUCCACUAAACUGUGACUCAGGCAAUCUUCUUCGGUCUGGUGAUAUCAGAGGAUAUCAGUCGAUGGCAAGGAUGUACACUAGACUUGCAGCAAUGCCCAAGAAGGGUUGAAAACGACGAGCUUGUAAUAAUGGCAUUAACAAAAGUUGAAUCAUUGCGCAUCUGUUUAGUGUUUUCUAACUACUGUGCAUGAACUAUUGUGUAUUAAUUUUUUGUUUUUUCGCAGCGAUUUCUGGUAACAACUACUCAUCACUCUAGCAGGUUUCUUGUGCACCUUUAGCAAGUGGAAUAUGUUUAAAUCAUCUUGAUUUUUGCACCUUUCAGAAAGAAUGCUUGGAUAGCUGAUUUAGAUUGUUCGUUGUUGUAACACUAUGUUCCACAUUGAUACUACCUCAGGAUGACAAUGUCUUGUGCUUGUGAUUUU